rnacentral:rRNA from 1 species
AUUGAACGCUGGCGGCAGGCCUAACACAUGCAAGUCGAGCGGAUGAAGGGAGCUUGCUCCUGGAUUCAGCGGCAGACGGGUGAGUAAUGCCUAGGAAUCUGCCUGGUAGUGGGGGAUAACGUCCGGAAACGGGCGCUAAUACCGCAUACGUCCUGAGGGAGAAAGUGGGGGAUCUUCGGACCUCACGCUAUCAGAUGAGCCUAGGUCGGAUUAGCUAGUUGGUGGGGUAAAGGCCUACCAAGGCGACGAUCCGUAACUGGUCUGAGAGGGUGAUCAGUCACACUGGAACUGAGACACGGUCCAGACUCCUACGGGAGGCAGCAGUGGGGAAUAUUGGACAAUGGGCGAAAGCCUGAUCCAGCCAUGCCGCGUGUGUGAAGAAGGUCUUCGGAUUGUAAAGCACUUUAAGUUGGGAGGAAGGGCAGUAAGUUAAUACCUUGCUGUUUUGACGUUACCAACAGAAUAAGCACCGGCUAACUUCGUG